UACGUAGGGUGCAAGCGUUGUCCGGAAUUAUUGGGCGUAAAGAGCUCGUAGGCGGUUGGUCGCGUCGGCUGUGAAAACCCGGAGCUCAACUCCGGGCCUGCAGUCGAUACGGGCCGACUUGAGUGUUGCAGGGGAGACUGGAAUUCCUGGUGUAGCGGUGAAAUGCGCAGAUAUCAGGAGGAACACCGGUGGCGAAGGCGGGUCUCUGGGCCGAUACUGACGCUGAGGAGCGAAAGCGUGGGGAGCGAACAGG
rnacentral:rRNA from 1 species